rnacentral:rRNA from 1 species
GACGAACGCUGGCGGCGUGCCUAAUACAUGCAAGUAGAACGCUGAAGGAGGAGCUUGCUUCUCUGGAUGAGUUGCGAACGGGUGAGUAACGCGUAGGUAACCUGCCUGGUAGCGGGGGAUAACUAUUGGAAACGAUAGCUAAUACCGCAUAAGAGUAGAUGUUGCAUGACAUUUGCUUAAAAGGUGCAAUUGCAUCACUACCAGAUGGACCUGCGUUGUAUUAGCUAGUUGGUGGGGUAACGGCUCACCAAGGCGACGAUACAUAGCCGACCUGAGAGGGUGAUCGGCCACACUGGGACUGAGACACGGCCCAGACUCCUACGGGAGGCAGCAGUAGGGAAUCUUCGGCAAUGGACGGAAGUCUGACCGAGCAACGCCGCGUGAGUGAAGAAGGUUUUCGGAUCGUAAAGCUCUGUUGUAAGAGAAGAACGAGUGUGAGAGUGGAAAGUUCACACUGUGACGGUAUCUUACCAGA